rnacentral:rRNA from 1 species
GUCGAACGAUAGUCCCAGCUUGCUGGGGCGAAAGUGGCGCACGGGUGCGUAACGCGUAUGCAACCUACCUUAAUCAGGGGGAUAGCCCGAAGAAAUUCGGAUUAACACCGCAUAAAAUCACAGCACAGCAUUGUGCAAUGAUCAAAUAUUUAUAGGAUUAAGAUGGGCAUGCGUGACAUUAGUUAGUUGGCGGGGUAACGGCCCACCAAGACCACGAUGUCUAGGGGAUCUGAGAGGAUGACCCCCCACACUGGUACUGAGACACGGACCAGACUCCUACGGGAGGCAGCAGUAAGGAAUAUUGGUCAAUGGAGGCAACUCUGAACCAGCCAUGCCGCGUGCAGGAAGACAGCCCUCUGGGUCGUAAACUGCUUUUAUUCGGGAAUAAACCUCAUUACGUGUAAUGAGCUGAAUGUACCGAAGGAAUAAGGAUCGGCUAACUCCGUGCCAGCAGCCGCG